GCCCGCCAGGACAUCCUCGGCGGAGAACGCGCCCGCGCGGCGACCGGACCUGGAGCUCGCAGCUCCGCAGCCGCAGCCCCGCAGCCCCGCAGAUUCUCGGCCCUGGUUUUAAGAUGAUGGGAUUGGGAAAUGGGCGUCGCAGCAUGAAGUCUCCGCCCCUUAUCGUGGCCGCCCUGGUGGCCUGUGUCAUUGUGCUGGGCUUCAACUACUGGAUUGCGAGCUCCAGAAGUGUGGAACUUCAGUCACGCAUUGUGGAGCUGGAAGUCCGGGUCCGCAGGGCAGCCGCAGAGAGGGGUGCUGUGGAGCUGAAGAAGAAUGAGUUCCAGGGUGAGCUGGAGAGGCAGCGAGAGCAGCUGGACAGGAUCCAAUCCAGCCACAGCUUCCAGCUGGAGAAUGUCAACAGGAUGCACCAGGACGAGAAGGCGGUUUUAGUGAGUAACAUCACCACAGGCGAAAAGCUCAUCAGAGACCUGCAAGACCAGUUGAAGGCUCUGCAGAGGAGUUACGGGAGGCUGCAGCAGGACAUCGUCCAGUUCCAGAAGAACCAGACUAGCCUGGAGAAGAAGUUCUCCUAUGACCUGAGCCAGUGUAUUAACCAGAUGAAAGAGGUGAAGGAACAGUGUGAGGAACGAAUAGAAGAAGUCACCAGGAGGAGAAAUGAAGCAGCAGUUUCCAGAGGUGUGGGUGAAAGAAACGACCAGCCUCAGCAGACCCUCAAGACUCAGCCCAAGCUUCCACAAGUAGUCCCACCACAGGAACAGGUGCCCCAAGAGAAAGAGGCUGUGCCCAGAAACAAGUCCCAGACACCAGCCCCCAGCUCAGAGGUGCGGGGUUUGAAACCACACCAGCAGAAUGAGGAAACCAACGAGAUUCAGGUCGUCAGUGAGGAGCAUGGUCUGGGACCACCGAAGGCAUCAGUCCAAGAACAGGUCCCCAUGGAUGGCACCCUUGGAGGAGCUGGGAAACCUCCUCCCAUGACACAAGGACCAGCUGCCCUGUUGGCCAGGCCUGAGGAUUCUCAGUACCCUGACCGGGACCAGCUUGUCAUCCGAGAUGAGCAGAAGCAGCAUGCAGCUGAGGAAGGGAGAAACCAGGGAGAUGAAUACAGCAUGGAUGAAAAUGAAGCCGAGUCUGAGAGAGACAAGCAGGCAGUCCUUGCAGGGAACGACAGAGAUAUCAAUGGUAAGGUUUCUGUGUAUAGCCCUGGGUGUACUGGAAUUCACUCUGUAGACCAGGCUAGCCUCAACUGGGAGAUUGCCUUCACCUGCCCCUGACUCCCAAGUGAGUGCUGAGAAUAAAAGUGUGUGCCACCAUGCCCAUCUCACUCGAAUACUCUUGGAUCAUCGUUUUUCCAAGUGUACUGACCUAAUCUGGGUGACAAGUCCUUCAAUCUGGAUGUCUGAUUCUACAGUGUUUAUCCAGCAUGUCACCUGUUUCAACAAGUUUUUAAUGUUGAAGAUCAGAAGAGAGGCCCAAUAGAUUUACUCAAUGGGAGUGAAAAACAGAAUCUCAUCCUAAAUCAAGUAGGAGUCCGUAUUCCUCAACAGGCCUGAACAGAGAUCCUGCAAAGACUCACGAGUGACUGAGUACUCAACUGUGAAAUGUACCAAGUAAACUGUGCAUCGGCUGA